rnacentral:lncRNA from 1 species
UUUGGACGUUCGGCCAUCCUAAUGCAUAUUGAUCUUUUUUUUGAGAGAUAAGUAGCACGCUACCCGCUUCGUUUAUUUCAUUUAGAAAUAAAUUUAGCUGAAAAUGUAAAUCAACUAGGAUUCGAACUUAGGUCUCGGGUACUAGCCACCAAACCUUUUGUCACUUGCUCUAUGGACGGUCGGUCCUAAUGCAUAUUGAUCGUACCAGUUAAUAUGCUCGAGUGUCGCCCAAUAUGUAGCAUC